rnacentral:rRNA from 1 species
GUGCCAGCCGCCGCGGUAAUACCGGCAGCCCAAGUGAUGGCCGAUCUUAUUGGGCCUAAAGCGUCCGUAGCUGGCCGACCAAGUCUCCCGGGAAAUCCACCCGCCCAACGGGUGGGCGUCCGGUAGAAACUGGCCGGCUUGGAACCGGAAGGCUCAGAGAGUACGUCCGGGGUAGGAGUGAAAUCCCGUAAUCCCGCACGGACCACCGAUGGCGAAAGCACUUCGAGAAAACGGAUCCGACAGUGAGGGACGAAAGCCAGGGUCUCGAACCGGAUUAGAAACCCGGUAUCC